rnacentral:rRNA from 1 species
AUUGAACGCUGGCGGCAGGCCUAACACAUGCAAGUCGAGCGGCAGCGGGAAAGUAGCUUGCUACUUUUGCCGGCGAGCGGCGGACGGGUGAGUAAUGCCUGGGGAUCUGCCCAGUCGAGGGGGAUAACUACUGGAAACGGUAGCUAAUACCGCAUACGCCCUACGGGGGAAAGCAGGGGACCUUCGGGCCUUGCGCGAUUGGAUGAACCCAGGUGGGAUUAGCUAGUUGGUGGGGUAAUGGCUCACCAAGGCGACGAUCCCUAGCUGGUCUGAGAGGAUGAUCAGCCACACUGGAACUGAGACACGGUCCAGACUCCUACGGGAGGCAGCAGUGGGGAAUAUUGCACAAUGGGGGAAACCCUGAUGCAGCCAUGCCGCGUGUGUGAAGAAGGCCUUCGGGUUGUAAAGCACUUUCAGCGAGGAGGAAAGGUUGGUAGCUAAUAACUGCCAGCUGUGACGUUACUCGCAGAAGAAGCACCGGCUAACUCCGUGCCAGCAGCCGCCGUAA